rfam:Echinococcus multilocularis genomic scaffold, pathogen_EmW_scaffold_08
GACUCCGUGGCGCAAUGGUAGUGUAUCUGACACCAGACCAGAAUGCUGCGUGUUCAAAUCAUAUCGGGGUCA